GCUGAUCUGCUCAAAACUGACAAGCAUCACCAAGGCCGUAUGGGCCGACACUAAUAAUCUGCAAAUAUGAAAAACUAAAUAUAUGGCAUAGCAUUAAAUAUUAAAAUGCAGGGUGAUUACAUGAAUUGCAUAUGAUAAAAUUGAUAUGGCCAAAUGAUGGCCGAAUACAGUAAGCAGAAUGCAUGACGCUAAUUGAGGUAUCACUAUGAUGCUAUGUAUGAUUAAAAUAGGCAAAAUUUGCGUUAGUAUCCUUAUGACGUCAGAAUAUGUACUGAACUGUGAAUGCCAACCUAGUUAGUGAAAGGCUGAACAUGGGGCGAAUACAUGUUGAAUGUCAUGGACAGUGUGGCCCAAAGCUGG